rnacentral:rRNA from 1 species
GAUGAACGCUGGCGGCAUGCCUAACACAUGCAAGUCGGACGGGAAGUGCUGUUUCCAGUGGCGGCCGGGUAGGUAACGCGUAAGACCUUGCCCUUGGGAGGGGAACACCCGCUGGAAACGGCUGCUAAAACCCCGUAGGCUGAGGAGCAAAAGGAGGAACCCGGCCGGGGAGGGGCUUGCGUGUGGAUCGCUAGUUGGUGAGUCAAUAGCUUACCAAGGCGAUGAGCAGUACCGGGUCCGAGAGGUGGAGAACCCACACUGGGACUGUGAAACGCCCCAGAAUCCUACGCGAGACGGAGGUGGGGGGUUUUCCGCAAAGGGGGAGAGACUGACACAGCGCUGCGGCGUGGGAAUAAAGAGCCUACUAGGCGUGAACUGCUUUUCCCGGGGAAGAGACAAUGACGGUAUCUGGGGAAUAAGCAUCGGCUAACUCCGUG